AGAGUUUGAUCAUGGCUCAGAAUCAACGCUGGCGGCAUGCCUAACACAUGCAAGUCGAGCGAGAAAGUGUAGCAAUACAUGAGUAAAGCGGCGCACGGGUGAGUAACACGUGGAUAACCUGCCUCAAAGUGGGGAAUAACACCGGGAAACCGGUGCUAAUACCGCAUAUUCUGUCGAGAUCUGCGGAUUUCGGCAGGAAAGGAGCAAUUCGCUAUGAGAGGGGUCCGCGGCUGAUUAGCUAGUUGGUGAGGUAAUGGCUCACCAAGGCUCCGAUCAGUAGCCGGUCUGAGAGGACGGUCGGCCACACUGGAACUGAGACACGGUCCAGACUCCUACGGGAGGCAGCAGUGGGGAAUUUUUCGCAAUGGGGGCAACCCUGACGAAGCAAUGCCGCGUGGAUGAUGAAGUAUCUCGGUACGUAAAAUCCUUUCGACGGGGACGAAGCCGCAAGGUUGACGGUACCCGUAGAAGAAGCCCCGGCUAACUCCGUGCCAGCAGCCGCGGUAAUACGGGGGGGGCAAGCGUUGUUCGGAAUUACUGGGCGUAAAGGGUGCGUAGGCGGCUUUCUAAGUCGGAUGUGAAAACUCUGGGCUCAACCCAGAGCCUGCAUCUGAAACUGGAGAGCUAGGGUUUUGGAGGGGAAAGCGGAAUUCCUGGUGUAGCGGUGAAAUGCGUAGAUAUCAGGAGGAACACCGGUGGCGAAGGCGGCUUUCUGGACAAAUACCGACGCUGAGGCACGAAAGCUAGGGGAGCAAACAGGAUUAGAUACCCUAGUAGUCC
rnacentral:rRNA from 1 species